AUACGGAGGGUGCAAGCGUUGUUCGGAAUCACUGGGCGUAAAGGGCGCGCAGGCGGUUUGGUAAGUCAGAUGUGAAAGCCCAUGGCUCAACCAUGGAAGUGCAUUUGAAACUGUCAGACUUGAGUACUAGAGGGGAAAGUGGAAUUCCCGGUGUAGAGGUGAAAUUCGUAGAUAUCGGGAGGAAUACCGGUGGCGAAGGCGACUUUCUGGCUAGAUACUGACGCUGAGGUGCGAAAGCGUGGGGAGCAAACAGGAUUAGAUACCCCAGUAGUCC
rnacentral:rRNA from 1 species